UACAGAGGGUGCAAGCGUUAAUCGGAAUUACUGGGCGUAAAGCGUGCGUAGACGGUCAUGUAAGUCGGGUGUGAAAGCCCCGGGCUCAACCUGGGAAUUGCAUUCGAGACUGCAUGGCUAGGGUGCGGAAGAGGGAAGCGGAAUUUCCGGUGUAGCGGUGAAAUGCGUAGAUAUCUGGAGGAACACCGGUGGCGAAGGCGGCAUCCUGGACCGGCAUUGACGCUGAGGCGCGAAAGCCAGGGGAGCAAACGGG
rnacentral:rRNA from 1 species